AGUAUUGUGAAAUGAAAUAUCACGAUAUAUUGCAGAACCGAUAUUUUCUUACACCCCUAGUUGUAUGUGAUUCGGCCAUUUUGGCUUUUUGGAGCCAGGUGUGACUUACCAAACGUCUUUCAAGAUAAAGUGCUCGUUGAACAGUAAUUAAAAUAAUAAAACUUUGGCAUACCUUGUGUUUUAGCUUAAAACGUUACAGAAAACUUGCACUGUGAUCAUUCUGAUUCUCUCUAUUAUUGUACCCAGCCCUAAUUUAAGCCAAGGUGUUGCUAUAAAUCAGGGCUGUGAUAUAAAUGUAUAGUCCAGGGAUCAACCCCAGAUGGGAUCCAUGCACAUUCCCACAGAUGAUCACUUUUGAUUCCAUGCACUUUACACCACAUACACCACCAUCCCAUAGCCUUUUUUUUUUCAGUUUUUCUCAUUAUCUGAAGUGCAGUCAUACAGAUUAUCGACGGUUUAUUUAAAACUGAGGGAACGAGGAUGAUAAGGAGGCGUUGCUUUGACUGGAUUGUUCCCUUUGUGGUCCGCCGUGGGUUUUCUCGGAGCCCUCUUACUCGUUCAUCUGCCUUUGAUCGGCUGCAGGUCCACCUUAAAUGUCCUUGUACUGCCAGUUCAGCCCAGUCUGGUGCUAUUCAAAGGAAAACUGUCUUCUAACCUGAGCUGUGAGGUGUGAUGAGUCGGAGGGUGGAACCAAAUGUUUAUUUAAUGGAUUUUACUGUGAUUGUUGUGUUCUGUUAUUAGAUGGAGAAUGACGCAUG